UCUUGGAGGAGCAAAGAAAGUGGUUUCUUGAGACGGAAUCUACUUCUGGUGAAGAUGCUGUGAA
rnacentral:pre_miRNA from 1 species